rnacentral:misc_RNA from 1 species
GUGAAUCAUCAAAUUUUUGAACGCAAAUUGCACUCUCUUCGGAGAGUAUGCCUGUUUGAGGGUCAGCCUAAAAAAAAUCGACAUAGUUGCUGUUUCGCGGUUGCCUUCGUCGGAAAUUGGGUCAUCUUAAAACUUUUGGUUUAAACGGCUUUAAAUUUUCUUUUCGAUUCCACGAACGGUUCUAAAAUUUUACUUCUUACACCGUUUAGGUAUCGAUCUUUAUUAGACGUUGCCGUUGCA